UCCCAGCACGUUGGGAGGCUGAAGCGGGCAGAGCAUGAGAUUAGGAGAUUGAGAUCAUACUGGCCAACAUGGUGAAAGCCCAUCUCU